rnacentral:rRNA from 1 species
GACGAACGCUGGCGGCGUGCUUAACACAUGCAAGUCGAACGGAAAGGCCCCUUUGGGGGUACUCGAGUGGCGAACGGGUGAGUAACACGUGCGUAACCUGCCCUUGACUUCGGGAUAACUUCAGGAAACUGGGGCUAAUACCGGAUAGGAAUCCUUGCUGCAUGGUGGGGGUUGGAAAGCUUCGGCGGGUUUGGAUGGACUCGCGGCUUAUCAGCUUGUUGGUGGGGUAGUGGCUUACCAAGGCUUUGACGGGUAGCCGGCCUGAGAGGGCGACCGGCCACAUUGGGACUGAGAUACGGCCCAGACUCCUACGGGAGGCAGCAGUGGGGAAUAUUGCACAAUGGGCGGAAGCCUGAUGCAGCAACGCCGCGGGCGGGAUGACGGCCUUCGGGUUGGAAACCGCUUUCAGCAGGGGCGAAGCUUGUGGUGACGGUACCUGCAGAAGAAGCACCGGCUAACUACGUG